AAUGAACGCUGGCGGCAUGCCUAACACAUGCAAGUCGAACGAAGGCUUCGGCCUUAGUGGCGCACGGGUGCGUAACGCGUGGGAGUCUGCCCCUUGGUUCGGAAUAACAGUUGGAAACGACUGCUAAUACCGGAUGACGACGUAAGUCCAAAGAUUUAUCGCCGAGGGAUGAGCCCGCGUAGGAUUAGGUAGUUGGUGUGGUAAAGGCGCACCAAGCCGACGAUCCUUAGCUGGUCUGAGAGGAUGAUCAGCCACACUGGGACUGAGACACGGCCCAGACUCCUACGGGAGGCAGCAGUGGGGAAUAUUGGACAAUGGGCGAAAGCCUGAUCCAGCAAUGCCGCGUGAGUGAUGAAGGCCUUAGGGUUGUAAAGCUCUUUUACCCGGGAUGAUAAUGACGGUACCGGGAGAAUAAGCUCCGGCUAACUCCGUGCCAGCAGCCGCAGUAA
rnacentral:rRNA from 1 species